rnacentral:rRNA from 1 species
UACGUAGGGGGCAAGCGUUGUCCGGAAUCAUUGGGCGUAAAGCGCGCGUAGGCGGCCCGGUAAGUCCGUUGUAAAAGUCGAAGGCUCAACCUUCGAAAGCCGAUGGAUACUGCCGGGCUAGAGUCCGGAAGAGGCGAGUGGAAUUCCUGGUGUAGCGGUGGAAUGCGCAGAUAUCAGGAGGAACACCAAUUGCGAAGGCAGCUCGCUGGGACGUUACUGACGCUGAGACGCGAAAGCGUGGGGAGCAAACAGG